GGCAGAGUUGAUCAUUGCAUAGCCUUGCCGCGCGUGGGGUGGAGGGACGACACAUUAAAAAAGCAAUUGCCGCAGGUUUAUAUAUAUAUCAUUGCAGUUAUGUAAUACCCUUUACUAGGCACAAAAUUGUGGCAAGCCUUGGCGUUAUCCAUAAUUCUUUGUUGUGCUUUUCACUUUAUAAAAGGUCUUUGUGCUAUUCUGCUCUUUCCAUGAAAAGAGUUUUCAGCUAAAUCAGCACGCCAAGCAGCUCAGUAUCAUGCCUUCCAACAGUUGGCAGAUCUGGGUACAAAAAAGUGCACAGAGUACUGAAAAAAAGGGAAAAGCCUGCCUCCCUUUUUGUAACAUCUUCCCUUAAUGAAGAAUUUCCUGAUUACAUUAUAGUUGUUUUUGAUUUUAUUAUGUAUUUGUGAUUUUAUAUCAAGAUUUUAUUCUGUGAACCGCCCUGAGACCCCCUGGUAUAGGCCUGUAUAUAAUUCAAUUAAUAAUAAUAAUUAAUAAAGGUGUUGUCCAGUGUGGCUUCUGAAGCUAUAUAUAAGGGGUGAGGUGGAACACCCUGUGACCAUCACCUUCGCAUUUCAUUACUUUGUUAAAAAAUAUUCUUUAACUUUUCACUGUGAUGUAAAACUACUCUUGUUUUGGAAUCUAUUUACCGUAUUUAUGCCCCUUCAAAAAGCCAUUUUGAAAGAGGUAGAGAUAAAGGCUGUCCACACAUUACCAUUCAUUCCAGCUCCAGUGUGCUCCCACCACUGGUACAUUUGUCUUUCUUUAGCCACAAUUCAUGUGUAUUUUUCUGUUUCUUUAUAAAUACUUGUAUUUGAUGCACUUUCCCUCAAACCAGCUUCCACCCAGUUUGAAAACGUAAGCCACAAGCUGAGAUGUGUACAUUUCAGACAGCCAUUGUACAUGGGCAGAUGACAGCUCUAUUGAACAGGAGGGACAGGGGACACGGAGAUACAGGUCAGAUGAGGAUCUGAAGGUGAGGGAAAGGGAUUUCUCCCAGACUGCUUAGUGCAUCCGUAGCAGACAAACCCACUCAUUCAAGUCCAAGCCUAAGAAGCUGCUCACUGGACCAUACUCCACUCUUAAGGAUGCUGUUUCAAAACUGAAGAAACACAGCUCAUUGGAGAGAUCUGGUUUGCUUAUGCAAUUUGAAAUAGAUCACCUUUUUCUGUUCUGUGGGACUGACGUGCUGAAAAUUAAAGGUUUCGUGAUCCUG